AUUGAACGCUGGCGGCAGGCCUAACACAUGCAAGUCGAGCGGAUGAAGGGAGCUUGCUCCUGGAUUCAGCGGCGGACGGGUGAGUAAUGCCUAGGAAUCUGCCUGGUAGUGGGGGAUAACGUCCGGAAACGGGCGCUAAUACCGUAUACGUCCUGAGGGAGAAAGUGGGGGAUCUUCGGACCUCACGCUAUCAGAUGAGCCUAGGUCGGAUUAGCUAGUUGGUGGGGUAAAGGCCUACCAAGGCGACGAUCCGUAACUGGUCUGAGAGGAUGAUCAGUCACACUGGAACUGAGACACGGUCCAGACUCCUACGGGAGGCAGCAGUGGGGAAUAUUGGACAAAGGGCGAAAGCCUGAUCCAGCCAUGCCGCGUGUGUGAAGAAGGUCUUCGGAUUGUAAAGCACUUUAAGUUGGGAGGAAGGGCAGUAAGUUAAUACCUUGCUGUUUUGACGUUACCAACAGAAUAAGCACCGGCUAACUUCGUG
rnacentral:rRNA from 1 species